rnacentral:rRNA from 1 species
GACGAACGCUGGCGGCGUGCUUAACACAUGCAAGUCGAACGGAAAGGCCCUGCUUUUGUGGGGUGCUCGAGUGGCGAACGGGUGAGUAACACGUGAGUAACCUGCCCUUGACUUUGGGAUAACUUCAGGAAACUGGGGCUAAUACCGGAUAGGAGCUCCUGCUGCAUGGUGGGGGUUGGAAAGUUUCGGCGGUUGGGGAUGGACUCGCGGCUUAUCAGCUUGUUGGUGGGGUAGUGGCUUACCAAGGCUUUGACGGGUAGCCGGCCUGAGAGGGUGACCGGCCACCUGGGGACUGAGAUACGGCCCAGACUCCUACGGGAGGCAGCAGGUGGGAAUAUUGCACAAUGGGCGGAAGCCUGAUGCAGCAACGCCGCGUGCGGGAUGACGGCCUUCGGGUUGUAAACCGCUUUCGCCUGUGACGAAGCGUGAGUGACGGUAAUGGGUAAAGAAGCACCGGCUAACUACGUG